AAAUGUGCAUUGUUUAAGCAUUGACUGUCCUCUUGUGGCUUCAAGUAUAAUGGUCACGUCUCCAGAAGACUCAGAUUGAUACACCAAUCUGUAAUAUGCUUUAAGGCCCACUUUUGUAAGAGCCAAGUGUGGCAACGGGUGUGCUCUCUCUAUAUUGUUUCUGUAUAACAUAGGCUAUUUCUUGAUAUCUUGUAAAUGGUGAUAUGGGUGAUUUGGUGUUGUAUUUCUGCUGCAACAUGGAGCAGAGACAACGAUUCGUAACACAGAUGGGAGGACAGCGCUGGACCAGGCUGAAGCAUCCACUAAAGCAGUGCUGAACGGUGAGUGGGAGGACCAUGUUCCUCACAAGCAUUUUAUACUCACUAAUGGCAUGAUUGAGUUAGUUUACACUCAUUGCAUCUAUUUUUGGGCAUGGGAACAGAAUAGAACAUGUUUCUUUGUGAUACAAGAAUUACAGAACAUGCAGUUGAAUGAAUCAAAACAAUGAAACACAAAAGUUAUUUUGGAAUAUGUUUUCACACUUUCUUCAACACAGGUGAAUAUAUAAAAGAUGACUUGCUUGAAAGUGCAAGGUGGAGGAUAUCUCAGAUGCUUUAAUGACCUCCAUUCAGAUGCCUUGUUAUCAACUGUGACCAUUCUUGUGCUCUUCAUUCCAAUACAUGUGGUGCUUUCAAUAAGAGUGGGAAUGAAGACAAGCUGAUGGACCCUGCUAACACCAUGUAAUUAAUGUGAACUGUCAUGCCAGUGACGGUUGGAAGAUUAGUUCAGACAUCGUGCUUUGCUCCAGGCAGUACGUGAAGCUGACCUGGCCCACCUAAAGAAGCACCUGUCACUGGAGACCAUCACCUUCAAUAAUCCCCUUAACCAUGAAUUCGCUCUGCUUCCUGGCUUCUGAAAAAUCCCACGACGACAUAAUCGAGGUGCUGGUGAAACACGAGGCAAGGGUAAGUUCAGAUGUUAUCAUGUUAUCAAAAGCAUAAAGAUCAAGCCAACUUGUGUGUUUGCUCUAGGAUUCAAAUCAAAUAAAACAAAAUGUUAUUUGUCACAUGCUUGGUAAACAACAGGCGUGGAUAGACACACAAUGAGUAUCGAUAACUUGGCCAUAUACCAGGGGUACCAGUACCGAGUCGA